rnacentral:rRNA from 1 species
GUCUACAGCCAUGCCAUCCUGAACAAGACCGAUCCCGUCUGAUCUCGGAAGCUAAGCCAGGAUCAGGCCUGGUUAGUACUUGAAUGGGAGACCACUUAGGAAGUCCAAGUGCUGUAGGCG